rnacentral:rRNA from 1 species
CUAGCUGUAAACGAUGGAUACUAGGCGUUGAGAGUAUCGACCCUCUCAGUGUCGUAGCUAACGCGUUAAGUAUCCCGCCUGGGGAGUACGCGCGCAAGCGUGAAACUCAAAGGAAUUGACGGGGGCCCGCACAAGCGGUGGAGUAUGUGGUUUAAUUCGGUGCAACGCGAAGAACCUUACCAGGGCUUGACAUGUCCGGAACCCUGCCCAAAGGCGGGGGUGCCUACGGGAACCGGAACACAGGUGGUGC